GUAACACGUAGUCAACCUGCCCUGGAGACAUGGACAACCCCGGGAAACUGGGAUUAAUCCGUGAUAGGUCAUCUCAUCUGGAAGGAGAGAUGGCUUAAAGGGAUGCGCGGGCUUCUUCUGCGUAUUUGCUCCAGGAUGGGACUGCGUCCGAUCAGGCUGUUGGCGGGGUAAUGGCCCACCAAGCCAGUAACCGGUACGGGCCUUGAGAGAGGUGGCCCGGAGAUGGACACUGAGAGAAGGGUCCAGGUCCUACGGGGCGCAGCAGGCGCGAAACCUUCGCAAUGCGCGCAAGCGUGACGAGGUUAAUCCGAGUGAUUUCCGCUGAGGAGACCUUUUGUCUGCUGUAAAUAGGCAGGCGAAUAAGGGGAGGGCAAGCCUGGUGUCAGCCGCCGCGGUGGGCGGGCUCCUCGAGUGGUCGGGGCCAUUAUUGGGCCUAAAGCAUCCGUAGCCGGUUCCGUAGGUCCUCUGUUAAAUCCACCCCCCCAACGGUUGAACCUGAGAGGAUACCCUCGAGACU
rnacentral:rRNA from 1 species